rnacentral:rRNA from 1 species
UACGAAGGGGGCUAGCGUUGCUCGGAAUCACUGGGCGUAAAGCGCACGUAGGCGGCUUGUUAAGUCAGGGGUGAAAUCCUGGAGCUCAACUCCAGAACUGCCUUUGAUACUGGCGAGCUCGAGUCCGGGAGAGGUGAGUGGAACUGCGAGUGUAGAGGUGAAAUUCGUAGAUAUUCGGAAGAACACCAGUGGCGAAGGCGGCUCACUGGACUGGUAUUGACGCUGAGGUGCGAAAGCGUGGGGAGCAAACAGG